AGUCACGACAACAAAUGGCAGCGAUUUUUCGUUUUUGCGAUCAUGUAACAUAGAUCUUCCACCGAAAUGACGUCAUCUUGGAUCGUUCUCUGUCACGGUCACUUGUAGGGAUUUAUUCAAGUUUUAGGCCUGUUUUUACGUAUCGAUAGUCAGUUUAAGCGAUUAUGUAAGCAUUGUGAUCAUAGAAAUAGGUGACACUGAAGUUGUCAAAGUCAAUCGCUAUAGAAACUAAUAGAGAGCAGUGUUUUAACAAAGUUUACUUGACGCCUGUGAUUCAUUAUUUACAAAUAAAAGGACUUUUAGGAUUUUUUUGAAUUUUGUACUAUAAAGUGUUUACUGACAUCGCCGUGUCCUACAUGCAUUUGUAUUGUACGCGGAAACGGAUCUAAAAGGAUGACUUUGCAUGCUGAGAUCCACAGAGAUCUAAGUGAUCCAUUACAGCUUUGUGAGACCGAGUUCAUUGCAAAACUUUCGUGUCGCGAUACCAGCAGGUUUUAGAAGAAAUACAAAGUCUUCGAACAACUGCUGUUCGCAAUAAACUAGAGGUCUUGGCAGCUUUAAGCAUUUAUGCCAAUGGAUCAUACAAAUGUCUCUAUGAUGGCUAAGGCAUCUUUUACCAAAUGCCUACAUGAGUCACUGACGCUCCUGAAUACCCCAGCUGUUUAAAAAAAAUGUGUUAAGUUCCCUUUGCAUUAAACACAAAAUCAUUAUAAAUAAAUAUGUGAUGCCAAUCUAAUAAUAACAUAGUGGAUGCUCAAUUUGGUGGUGUAUCAUAUGACUUGUACAUGUGGAACCAGUGCAAUAAAACCACUUGAGGAAAACCUGCCCAAUAGAGACUGCUGUUGGUUGUUAGGUGACCAAUGUUUGCAUGAUGACCCCCAUCUUGGGAGCUGCUCCUAGAUCCCAUUAAGAUAUGCACAACAUUGCUGUGUCAGAAAUACGGUGGAGCCUUGUAGUUGGGUGCAUAUUGUAAAAUGUUUCCUCACUCCAAAACCAUGAACUCUGGUUUCCUAAACCCUCAAGCUAUGCAGCCGAAGGAGGAGACUUAUCACAGGAGAAUCACUAAUAAUUUUGAAGAAGUGAAGAGCUUAACAAUGUUUCAACCAACACCUAAAGAAGCUUUCACUUGGCUGUUAGAUCAAGGGCUGGAUACAGAAAACAGUAAUCCUUGUGAUGGCAGUAUUGUCCAAGGAUUCCUCACUCAAAACCAUGAUAACAAGUUGCUAGAACCCUCAAGCUAUGCAGACAAAGGACUGGAUAUAUUUUUUCGUGACCAAGCCUUCUGUAUAAUUAUUUAUACUUAAACCAUACAAAGCACUAUCUAGCCCCAAAGUAGGCAUACAGAGUAGCUUGUGUUGUGGGUACUAAGAUAGUUGAUAUUAUAAUAUUCAUUUACAUUUAUAUACUACCUAUAAAUACUUAUAUAAUGUAUAAAUACACACACACUGGAAAAAACCCAUGCUCUUCACACAAAUAUUUUCCAGGUGUGGGAAUCGAACCCAUGACCGUGGAUGCAGGAGCACUACUUACUGCGCCACGCGUAUGUGUUUUUAUUUUGAAGCAAAUUAUUAAAGUUGAUAAUUCAAAUUGUAGUCAUGUUUUUAAUUAAUCUAUAAUUAAUUUUUAAUUUACAUUUUUGUUAAAUAUUUACCUAUACUUCAGUCUAUUUUUGUUAGAGGGGGUACCUAUAUGUGUAAGUAGGGUCGUUUCUUGAUUAAAUUAAACUAAAGAAUGAAAGAUAUAUAUUAUAACAAAAUUUGUCAACAACAAUAUAUCAAGUCUGAAUAAAAAAUACCAACACAAGUAAAUAUAUUUUUUAUUUUUAAAUAAUAGAUGUUACACAAAUAUAGAGUAUCUACUUUAACUACCUGGCCCUACCUGCUUAACAUUAAACAACAUUGUUUUUAAUCAAAUCAUUAUUUAUUUAUUUCCUACAAUGUGGUAGGUACAUGUUUUGUUCUUAAAAUUAUUGAAUUGUAUAGAUAAACAACUAAUGUAGUAUUCAAUUUUUUCUUUUACAAUUACUUAAAUAAUCAUCAUCAUCAUCAUCAUCAUCAUCAUCAUCAUUAUAAACACAUAUUCGGCUCACUGCUGAGCUCGAGUCUCCCCCAGUAAGAGGGGUUAGUGCCUACCCGCACUCGGGAGACCCCGCACUGGAAAGCGUGGUUGGUCGGUUGGUUGGAUGUUCGCGGCUCAAGGUCGUUGUGCUUGGAGGUCCAUGUAAGAGGUCUAUGUCCAGCAGUGGACGUCUAUCGGCUGAUAAGGUAAGGGAAGGCCAAUGCCUAACCCCUCUCAUUCUGACAGGAGCCUAAUAUGGGCCAGCAUAUUUGGAUUACAUUGGCAGACAUCACAUAUGCAGAGAAUUAAGAGAAUUCUCUGGUAUGCAGGUUUCCUCACGAUGUUUUCCUUCACUGUUUGAGACACGUCACAUUCACUGGGCUAUUAGGGAUAAUAAUAAUAGUUAAAUAAUAUUUCCUCCUAAUAAUAGAUAAUAAAACAUAUUUUGAUGUGCAAUUUUACAAUAAAAUUUUUAUCUAAUACUAUGUAAUACUGAAAUUAACCAAAUGAUAAUAAUCAUAUUCUUUAUAUACAGUGAUGUCAUAAUUAACUAUAUUAAAUUAAAAUGAAAUUAUA